rnacentral:rRNA from 1 species
AAAACCUAAUAAAACUUUCAACAACGGAUCUCUUGGCUCUUGCAUCGAUGAAGAACGCAGCGAAAUGCGAUAAGUAAUGUGAAUUGCAGAAUUCAGUGAAUCAUCGAAUCUUUGAACGCACCUUGCGCCUUUUGGUAUUCCGAAAGGCAUGCCUGUUUGAGUGUCAUG